UCAGUACCCGAAUUUCUUGACGACCAUAGAGCGUUGGAACCACCUGAUCCCAUCCCGAACUCAGAAGUGAAACGAUGCAUCGCCGAUGGUAGUGUGGGGUUUCCCCAUGUGAGAGUAGGUCAUCGUCAAGA
rnacentral:rRNA from 1 species